GCUUACUGAUAUCAGAGCGCUGAGUAUCUAAACAAUAUUGAGAAAGGAGAGGCUGGAAUAUCAUUGUCGGUAUACACAGAACUUGCUGAUAUAGCGGUUGUUUUGCCUGGUAAUGUUCUAGUCGGCAGUGGACUUUAAGAUUCCUGGUUAUGUUGGUAACGCACUACCGGCAGACUUCCCACUCCAUACUUAUGCGCAUAUCUUGAGGGACAGACCCAGUGAAGAGGAGAGCGUUACAUUUUUCCGUGUUGCCUCAUCGCCUUCGUGUGGUCACCCCGCGUCACCCACGCUAACUUAUUGGUGGUAACACGGAGAGCAAGUGGAAGAAACCUUGGGAGACUUCCAUGACUCAGGAACAAGCACACCUCACUGGGAGCCUUGUGACUGACAGGUGGUUCAGACCGACUGGGAGACAUGACAUCAGUGCCACCACGCAGGGAGUAAAACCAAGAGGAGGAAGAGGAGCAUUCAAGAGACAUCAGCUGGCCAGCAGUCCAUUCAGUUUCACAACAGGAAGUGAAGGAUGAAGCAUGAAGGGUUUUAGGCCAAAAUGAACUGACAGCAAUCAGGAAUGACACGUCCAGCAAAACCAGCAACACAGCAGUGAGUGUGCAUGCUGACACACACACACACCCAGGCUUCCAAGUUGAUAAUCCAAAAGCCAGCAGAUGACAGCUUCCUUCCAGCACACACUUGUAUCGCCCAACUUGACCUGCCUGAAUACAAGCUGAUACAGUCCAUGCAGCAGAGUAAAGAGUGCAGCCUCUACAAGUGGUGGAGGGCAUGGACACUUGGAUAUGGAUGACACUGGUUUGGGUGCCAAAUAUUAAUAGUGCACCUACACAAUUACCACACUCGCUCCUCUCACCAGGCUUAACUAUAAAUAAUUAAAGCAUGGAGGAGUGAGGAGGCACAUCUGUCUGUGAUUAGGGAAUGCAAAUGACGAUGUUCCAAGGACAUCACCCUGUCCUGGGACAUGACAUGAGAGAGAAGAGGAAAAAAGGUCUCUCUCUCUCUCUCUCUCUCUCUCUCUCUCUCUCUCUCUCUCUCUCUCUCUCUCUCUCUCUCUCUCUCUCUCUCUCUCUCUCUCAGAGUUUCCAUAACACCAAACUGCUCUGGUGUUAAUUUCAUGAGUUGCUGAAUAAUAGAAAUGGGAAUGUUAGUUCAAUGCAUUUAGCUCUGAGUAUGAAAGAAUGACAAGAAAGAAUGCAGAGGACACUAGAACACAUGCACAGAAAACUGAAAGAUUUUUAAACUUUUGAAUAGGUGUAGGAAAAAAAAAAAAAAAAAAAAACUGCAAAAUCAGUGUCUCCUUAAAACAACACAUGACAGCAAUGAUAACUCACACAACAAUAAUGCUUGAUGAAGACUAUAUUUCCAACACAGAUUUAUGAGAACAUUUGGCAAAGCUGUGCACUGUUUACUUGUGUUAAAACUAUGCCAUGAUUUGAGAGGAAAGUUGGUUAGUCAUUAUAGGGUUAAGAUGAUAUAAGGGUGUUUAUUUUAGCUAAUUUCCAAUGACUCCUAAUAUAAGAUUAAAACUUUAAUGAUUAAGUAACUAUUUCAUUGUUUACAUUAAUUUACACCAAAAUUUCGCAACUACAACCUCAGGGAUGUUUAGUUAAUCCAAUUUUGUUCACAACUACUACAUUUUUUCCAAUGGUUUACCCAUAGUACAACACAAACAACUACAAUAUCAUUCAUGCUAUUUCAUUCCAAAAAAAAAAUUCACAACUAUGUACAUGAUCUAGUUUACAAUAAAAGGAUUUUGAACAAUA